rnacentral:rRNA from 1 species
GUCUUUAUGGGUGAUAUAUAAAGUCUGACCUGCCCACUGAAGUGAGAUUUUAAGGGCCGCGGUAGCCUGACCGUGCUAAGGUAGCAUAGUCAUUAGUCUUUUAAUUGGAGGCUGGUAUGAAAGGUUGGACAAGAAGUAAGCUGUCUUUAUUAUAAAAAUAUAAUUUAACUUUUGAGUGAAAAGGCUUAAAUGUUCUAGGGGGACGAUAAGACCCUAUAAAACUUUACGUUAGGGGGCUGAUAUGUAAAUUUGGGUAUAAAAGUUUAUAGCGGUUGAAUGAUGUUUUGCUGGGGCGGCAGGAAUAUAAUAAUUAACUGUUCUAAGAUGUGUAAUAGGAAUAACUAGAGACUUUGAUCCUUUAGGGUGAGGAUUAUUAGAGUAAGUUACUUUAGGGAUAACAGCGUUAUUUUUUCUGAGAGUUCAUAUCGACGAAAGUAGUUGCGACCUCGAUGUUGAAUCAAAAUGUUGGCAAGGUGUAGAAGUUUUGCGGGUAGGUCUGUUCGACCUUUAAUAUUUUACGUGAUUUGAGUUCAGACCGGCGUGAG